rnacentral:rRNA from 1 species
AAGGGCACCACAAGAACGCGUGGAGCAUGUGGCUUAAUUUGACUCAACGCGGGAAAUCUUACCGGGUCCGGACACACUGAGGAUUGACAGGCAAUAUUGUGUUUACGUUCGCGUAUCACAUGUUAAAUAUGCUAGUCCUUUCAUGAUUAUGUGAUAGGUGGUGCAUGGCCGUUCUUAGUUCGUGGAGUGAUCUGUCUGCUUAAUUGCGUUUCACUAAGGGCCUAUAAUAAUACGCAUGUUGUUGGCACUUUGACCCCUCUAUUGAUUUAGUGCGCGUGUCUUUGUUUGCUUAACUCAUGCAAUUAGGUCCUGAAAGCAACGAACGUGACCG